rnacentral:rRNA from 1 species
UACGAAGGGUGCAAACGUUGUUCGGAUUCAUUGGGCGUAAAGGGUGCGUAGGCGGCGCGGUAAGUCGGGUGUGAAAUUUCGGAGCUUAACUCCGAAACUGCAUUCGAUACUGCGGUGCUUGAGGACUGGAGAGGAGACUGGAAUUCAUGGUGUAGCAGUGAAAUGCGUAGAGAUCAUGAGGAAGACCAGUGGCGAAGGCGGGUCUCUGGACAGUUCCUGACACUGAGACACGAAGGCCAGGGGAGCAAACGGG